rnacentral:rRNA from 1 species
GGCUAUCUACACUUACCAUGCAGUCGAACGAACUCUUCGGAGUUAGUGGCAGACGGGUGAGUAACGCGUGGGAAUAUACCUUUCGGUACGGAACAACAGUUGGAAACGACUGCUAAUACCGUAUGCGCCCUAUGGGGGAAAGAUUUAUCGCCGAAGGAUUAGCCCGCGUUGGAUUAGCUAGUUGGUGGGGUAAAGGCCUACCAAGGCGACGAUCCAUAGCUGGUCUGAGAGGAUGAUCAGCCACACUGGGACUGAGACACGGCCCAGACUCCUACGGGAGGCAGCAGUGGGGAAUAUUGGACAAUGGGGGCAACCCUGAUCCAGCCAUGCCGCGUGAGUGAUGAAGGCCCUAGGGUUGUAAAGCUCUUUCAGCGAGGAGGAUAAUGACGUUACUCGCAGAAGAAGCCCCGGCUAACUUCGUGCCAGCAGCCGCGGUAAUACGAAGGGGGCUAGCGUUGUUCGGAAUCACUGGGCGUAAAGCGCACGUAGGCGGAUUGGUCAGUUAGGGGUGAAAUCCCAGAGCUCAACUCUGGAACUGCCUUUAAUACUGCCAGUCUUGAGUCCGAGAGAGGUGAGUGGAACUCCGAGUGUAGAGGUGAAAUUCGUAGAU